rnacentral:rRNA from 1 species
CCUACGGGAGGCAGCAGUGAGGAAUAUUGGUCAAUGGGCUUACGCCUGAACCAGCCAAGUCGCGUGAGGGAAGACUGCCCUAUGGGUUGUAAACCUCUUUUGUCAGGGAGCAAUUGGCGCUACGUGUAGCGUUAUCGAGAGUACCUGAAGAAAAAGCAUCGGCUAACUCCGUGCCAGCAGCCGCGGUAAUACGGAGGAUGCGAGCGUUAUCCGGAUUUAUUGGGUUUAAAGGGUGCGUAGGCGGAAUGCCAAGUCAGCGGGAAAAUCGCGGGGCUCAACCUCGCUCUGCCGUUGAAACUGGCGUUCUUGAGUGGGCGAGAAGUAUGCGGAAUGCGUGGUGUAGCGGUGAAAUGCAUAGAUAUCACGCAGAACUCCGAUUGCGAAGGCAGCAUACCGGCGCCCAACUGACGCUGAAGCACGAAAGCGUGGGUAUCGAACAGGAUUAGAUACCCCGGUAGUC